GGCGACUCCUACGGGAGGCAGCAGUGGGGAAUAUUGCACAAUGGGGGAAACCCUGAUGCAGCGACGCCGCGUGAAGGAUGAAGUAUUUCGGUAUGUAAACUUCUAUCAGCAGGGAAGAAAAUGGCGGUACCUGACUAAGAAGCCCCGGCUAACUACGUGCCAGCAGCCGCGGUAAUACGUAGGGGGCAAGCGUUAUCCGGAUUUACUGGGUGGAAAGGGAGCGUAGACGGCAGUGCAAGUCUGAAGUGAAAGGCGGGGGCCCAACCCCCGAACUGCUUUGGAAACUGCGCUGCUGGAGUGCAGGAGAGGCAAGUGGAAUUCCUAGUGUAGCGGUGAAAUGCGUAGAUAUUAGGAGGAACACCAGUGGCGAAGGCGGCUUGCUGGACUGUAACUGACGUUGAGGCUCGAGAGCGUGGGGAGCAAACAGGAUUAGAUACCCGAGUAC
rnacentral:rRNA from 1 species